rnacentral:misc_RNA from 1 species
GAUGAAGAACGUAGCGAAAUGCGAUACUUGGUGUGAAUUGCAGAAUCCCGUGAACCAUCGAGUCUUUGAACGCAAGUUGCGCCCGAAGCCACUAGGCCGAGGGCACGCCUGCCUGGGCGUCACACGCCGUUGCCCCCCCAUCUACUCCUUCGGGAUUGCGGGGGGGCGGAUGAUGGCCUCCUGUGCGCCUAGCCGCGCGGUUGGCAUAAAUACCAAGUCCUCGGCGACGCACGCCACGACAAUCGGUGGUUGCGAAACCUCGGUUGCCCGUCGUGUGCGUUCGUCGCGCAUCGAGGGCUCGAAAAAAUGCUCGGCUCCGGCUGGGCUUUCAACGCGACCCCAGGUCAGGCGGGGUUACCCGCUGAAUUUAAGCAUAUCAAUAACGGAGGA